GGUCGCCAGAUUUUCGCCAAAAAAUCGUUAAGUUACCAUAAUGUAAAGAUUCACCUAUUCGUGAUAUCACUUAAGGCUUUUUUCUUGAAAUUUACUUAUGGAAAGUUCAUCUCUUUUUACAGUGUUCUAUGCGAAAAUAAAAAGUUACGAAUAAAAAGGGGGAGAGGAAAUAAAGAAGGAAUGAACUGGGGGAAUAAAUGACGAAAAAAUGACAUUAUUUCCAAACAGAAGAGAAACACACCAAAGUGAAACAGAAAAGGAGCAGAGCAACAACCUUGUGUCUGGCAUAAAUUUAGUCAAGAAAUCAAAUGAUUUCGAGGGCAAACAGUCUUGCAAAUUUCUUUGCUUCUGAUGAAGGAGGACCUCUACCUGUCUGCCCUCGAAACGAAUUGAAUUCUUGACUAAAUCUACGCCAAACACAAGGCUGUCGCUUUGCUAAUUUUAUGUAACAUAUAUUUAUUUUCUUGAAUUAUCUGAAAACUAAAACAAUAGAUAUAAAUAUGGAAUGUAUGCAAAACAUAAAAUGGCUUAACUUAAGCAUUCAGUUUGUUUAGUUGUUUUGAAUUUUAUUCUGCUGUUUAUGAAUUUCUACUAACAUAAUUUGAUUUUUCUUUUUAUUAUCUUUUGUUAUAUACAUGUUUACUAUAUUUCUGAUGCGAAUAAAAGCAAUUUAACUUUUGGCUGCAUCUUCGAGGGUUUUUACUUUUUAAAUAUGUAUUAAUCUUUUGGCUAUCAGUUACUUAGUUGCUGAUGUUAGCGUAUUGUGUGUGGCAAUCAUUGCGUAAUAUUAUUGUAAAUUAUAUGGUAUACACAUAACAAUUAACAUUAUAAUGAAUUAUUUAGCUUUAUAUCUCUUGUUUUCUGUUCAAAAUUUUCUUAAAUAUACUACAUAAAUGUUGUUGAAAAGUAAGCUUCUGUUUUGUAAUGUUGUGAAACUUAUAUUCUUUUCUUUCUUCUUUUUUGGCUGCUUUAGAACUGAAUCCCUUAUAACAGACAGUGACGAUCAGGCAGCUUCGUAAAAGAUGGUUUACUACUGAAAGAUACACCAGUAAUAAUAGAUAAAAGAUGAGGAAAAUACUUAAACUCAAGCGAACGAUCCAGUUAUGAGCGAAGUUGGACGAGACAAAGUCAUUCACGAAGUAAAGAUUGAGUCCAAUAAGGAAUGCCGUAGACACGCCCAUGAAGA